rnacentral:rRNA from 1 species
AGCAGCCGCGGUAAUUCCAGCUCCAAUAGCGUAUAUUAAAGUUGUUGCAGUUAAAAAGCUCGUAGUUGAAUUUCGGGGUUAGUAGAUUGGUCAUGCCUUUGGUAUGUACUGGUCUUACUGAUUCCUCCUUCCUGAUGAACCGUAAUGCCAUUAAUUUGGUGUUGCGGGGAGACUGGACUGUUACUUUGAAAAAUUAGAGUGUUUAAAGCAAGCUUUGGCCUGAAUACAUUAGCAUGGAAUAAUGGAAUAGGACGUUCGAUCUUAUUUUGUUGGUUUCUAGGAUUGACGUAAUGAUUAAUAGGGAUAGUUGGGGGCAUUAGUAUUCAAUUGUCAGAGGUGAAAUUCUUGGAUUUAUUGAAGACUAACUACUGCGAAAGCAUUUGCCAAGGAUGUUUUCAUUAAUCAAGAACGAAAGUUAGGGGAUCGAAGACGAUCAGAUACCGUCGUAGUCUUAACCAUAAACUAUGCCGACUAGGGAUCGGAUGAUGUUAAUUUUAUAAUGACUCAUUCGGCGCCUUAA